rnacentral:rRNA from 1 species
GAUGAACGCUGGCGGCGUGCCUAAUACAUGCAAGUCGAGCGAACGGACGAGAAGCUUGCUUCUCUGAUGUUAGCGGCGGACGGGUGAGUAACACGUGGAUAACCUACCUAUAAGACUGGGAUAACUUCGGGAAACCGGAGCUAAUCCCGGAUAAUAUUUUGAACCGCAUGGUUCAAAAGUGAAAGACGGUCUUGCUGUCACUUAUAGCUGGAUCCGCGCUGCAUUAGCUAGUUGGUAAGGUAACGGCUUACCAAGGCAACGAUGCAUAGCCGACCUGAGAGGGGGGUCGGCCGCACUGGAACUGAGACAGGGUCCAGACUCCUACGAGAGGCAGCAGUAGGGUAUCUGCCGCAAUGGGCGAAAGCCUGACGGAGCAACGCGGCGUGAGUGGUGAAGGUCUUCGGAGCGUAAAACUCGGUUAUUAGGGAAAAACAUAUGUGUAAGUAAAUGUGCAGAGCGUGACGGUACCGAAUCAAAAAGCCACGGCUAACUACGUG